rnacentral:rRNA from 1 species
AGGCUUUGAAGCGUGGACGCCAGUCUGCGUGGAGCCGACCUUGAAAUACCACCCUUUAAUGUUUGAUGUUCUAACGUGGAUCCGUAAUCCGGGUUGCGGACAGUGUCUGGUGGGUAGUUUGACUGGGGCGGUCUCCUCCUAAAGAGUAACGGAGGAGCACGAAGGUUGGCUAAUCCUGGUCGGACAUCAGGAGGUUAGUGCAAUGGCAUAAGCCAGCUUGACUGCGAGCGUGACGGCGCGAGCAGGUGCGAAAGCAGGUCAUAGUGAUCCGGUGGUUCUGAAUGGAAGGGCCAUCGCUCAACGGAUAAAAGGUACUCCGGGGAUAACAGGCUGAUACCGCCCAAGAGUUCAUAUCGACGGCGGUGUUUGGCACCUCGAUGUCGGCUCAUCACAUCCUGGGGCUGAAGUAGGUCCCAAGGGUAUGGCUGUUCGCCAUUUAAAGUGGUACGCGAGCUGGGUUUAGAACGUCGUGAGACAGUUCGGUCCCUAUCUGCCGUGGGCGCUGGAGAACUGAGGGGGGCUGCUCCUAGUACGAGAGGACCGGAGUGGACGCAUCACUGGUGUUCGGGUUGUCAUGCCAAUGGCACUGCCCGGUAGCUAAAUGCGGAAGAGAUAAGUGCUGAAAGCAUCUAAGCACGAAACUUGCCCCGAGAUGAGUUCUCCCUGAGACUUAGAGUCUCCUGAAGGAACGUUGAAGACGACGACGUUGAUAGGCCGGGUGUGUAAGCGCAGCGAUGCGUUGAGCUAACCGGUACUAAUGAACCGUGAGGCUUAACCUUACAACGCCGAAG